AAUUUGAUAUCAACUACACAAUUAUAAUAUCAAUAAAUGCACAUUAACGAUGGAAAAUUACAAUAAUCAAUGAAGCCUAGCAUAAAGAAAGAAACAAGCUCACAGAUUGACAGAGGAAACAAAGUUCACAUCAAAGAAAAUAAAUUCACACAAAGGAAUGAAUCUAACAUGAUACAUAAAUGUCCCCUGACCCAUCUUAACUAACUGGCUAAGAACUUUUUAGCUGAGAUGAGCUUAUAAUCAAUGAAUAUAAUUUUAUGGGAAAGGCUUAAAUAUAAUUUACUACCCUGAACUAUAGGUCAUAUUCCACUUCGGUGAUUCACUUUUCAAUUUUUUCAAUUAGAUGAUUGAACUAUUAAUUUUUUUCAAUUCCAUCCAAUUGAGGUUGACACGUCAGAAAUUGUUGACGUGGCUAUCUGGGUGGGACAUAACUAAGCUGAUGUGUGUAAAAAAAUAAUUUUUUAUUUUGUGAUUAAACAAUUUUAAUAUAAUAAAGGGCAAAAUAGUCAUACUCCUUUCUAUUAAACAUUAAAACUAAACAAAUUAACUACUCAUUUCUUCAAAAAAACAAUGUAUCAUAAAACCAAAAAUUCAGAAAUCCUUCCCGAAAAUCUAUUUUUCUAUUUAUGCCAGUGAUAUUUUAAUAGACUCAGAAGAUGGAUUAAUAUUACCCCAUUAGUGAUCAUUAGUUCUAGUUGGGCUUCAUAGUAAAAUUUGAAUGGCAUCGUGUUGUUCCAAAAGAGCAGAGAAUUUAUAAUCUCCUGCUCUCUCUUUUUUCGCUCCUUUGUCUUCUUCUUCUUCUUCUUUAUUUAUUUUUUAUAUUAGUUUUCAAUCCUCCUCUACUACUCAUUGUUCAAAGAGUUAUCGGAGGUUAAUUUUGUGUUGCUCUUUUGGCACUGAGCUUCAAAACUUUGGAUCCAAAGCCAGCUGGAUCCAAUGUAUCACAUUAAAAUAUCACAAAGUUUUAGAUCUCAAGCUAAACAAACCUGAACUUGGGGUUGUUUGAUUAAUCAAUCUUCCUUUCAAAUGGAUCUGGGAUUCUCAGAUCUUGAAUAUGCCGUUAUCUGGGUUUGGUUUUGAUUCCGGUGGUUUUUUCAUGGAUGAGGCUUGUUUAUUCUCCGUAUGUUUUCUAAUCUGGACUUUGUGUUUUUUGCUUAUCUAUUUAAUGCUCAGUUUUGGAUGUUUUUAUUGUUGGCUCUGUUGUGGUCCAUUGUUGGUUUCCAGUUGGAUUUUGGCCUUGGAUCUGCGUAUUCCACUCUGUUCCAUUUCUGUUCGAUCUGGAAUUGGUUCUCUGUUUUUGUUUUCGAACGAUUUGGUGUUUUUGUUUUUGUUUUCAUCUGAUGUAGUUUGGUGGCUGCAUUUAGGUUCGUUCUUUAUUGGACCAGAUUUGCUUCAAACGUAAGUGUAAAUCACCAAAGUGGAAUAUGACAUAUAGUUUAGGAUAAUAAAUUAUAUUUAAGCCUAUGUCCCAUAAUAUUUCCACAAGAUCCUCCAAAGAGUAAAUCAGCCCCACACUUAAGAUUUGUGAAAAUAUCAAUAUUGAAAAUAACAAUUCCCUAAAAUUAUGACAGCAUAAGCAGAAUCACAUGUAAAAUUCAGAGGCAAACAAUUACACUGUUCAAUUUCAGAUCAAGAGCAAGCAAAAACUUAAGUUUCACUGUUUAAAUAGCAUUAUGUAGUGCAUAGAAUCAAUAAAUACAUCAGUUAUGAGUGAAGAAGUAGAAGAAGAAGAAGUAGAGGGGAGACUAACCAGAAAUUUCUCCCUUUCCUUGUGAGUAUGUUUUCAAUUAUUUCAGACGCAUUAAUUUCUGAAAAUAGAGAAUUCACAGGCGAGGGGGGAGCCAAUUGGCGCCCACAGAAGAUAUAGUAAAAUCUCUACCAAUGUGAAGACAACGAAUGAUACAGUUGAAUCCGGUAAUCUCGCAUCAAUUUCAU
rnacentral:lncRNA from 1 species